GUGUCAGCCGCCGCGGUAAUACGUAGGGGGCGAGCGUUGUCCGGAUUUAUUGGGCGUAAAGAGCUCGUAGGCGGUUGGGUAAGUCGGGUGUGAAAACUCAGGGCUCAACUCUGAGACGCCACUCGAUACUGCUCUGACUCGAGUCCGGUAGGGGAGCGUGGAAUUCCCGGUGUAGCGGUGAAAUGCGCAGAUAUCGGGAGGAACACCAGUGGCGAAGGCGGCGCUCUGGGCCGGAACUGACGCUGAGGAGCGAAAGCGUGGGUAGCAAACAGGAUUAGAAACCCGCGUAGUCC
rnacentral:rRNA from 1 species